rnacentral:lncRNA from 1 species
UCUUGAGAACUGAACAUCUCCACAUACCUCUGGAUAUUACAACCAAGUAGUGGCAGAGAAAUAGAGAAUCUAAUACAGUUCCCUUGUGCAAAUAUGUGGGAACUCUAAAUCUUUCUGAACCUCAGUUCACUAAAGAUGAUAUCCAUUCUUUGUAACUCAUUUUUAUUAUAGCCACUCAGAAUGACUGGAUCACAUGCUAAUUGGCUAACUCAUUGCACAGUCUUAAUCUUAGUCCAACAUAUCUGGAGUGCAUCAGAAUGUAGAAAGCAGUAACACAUGGGAUCAUAAUAGUUUGGAAAGCAAAGAAAUGAAGGCGUUGGAUGAGGCAUAGUCCAGUCGAUCAAAAAUAAGAGUGGGAUAAGGCUCAAUCAGUUAACUCUUCUCAGUUCAAUGGAAGAGUUAAAUAUAUGCAUGAAUAUGUUUCACAUUCCUGGCUGAACAUAGUUUGUGGGACCAUUGACAUGACCCAACACCAUUGAUUUACCUCACUUCUGUUUCCAGCAUAUCAUGGAGUUGUGCUGAAGGACACAGAGUGUUAGAGAGGGAGGUCAGCUGUUACCAACAGUGCUAUGGAGUUUGAAGAGGUGCAAGCAGAGGCAAAAGGAAGAAACGUGUCAAGAGGAAGGCAGGUCAAGCAAACCCAUACCAGGACCAUCACCCAUCUGGAAAUUCAUUACCUCCUCCGAAUGAACUCCAAAAGAAGCUGCUGAGACAUCGUGACUAGAAUAUCAACGGGAUCUCUCUUUUGCUUUUUCCCCCCCUAUAAGAGACAAUUGUGAUUAAACUGAUGUAACUAGCCACCAG